GGGAACGCACCGCCCGGGUAGCCACUCUCACGUUCCCCUAACUCAAACCAGACGCCCCUGCCAGAUCCUUCCCAGCUUUAACCUCGGAGACUCAGUCGAGGGGGCGGGGGAUUGAUGGAUGGAGUGGGGAGAGGUCGCCUGGUUUUCUAGAAAGCUUGGGCCUGAGGCACCACUUAUGGAAUGACACCGUCUGCUGGGACGGAGGUCUGAAGCUCCUUCCCAUGACCCCUGGCAGAGGGUAGACAGCACCCUGAGGGAAAGAAAGAGUUAAAUGCGCUGCAGUCCGCGGGAGGAUGGGUGUGGGGAAGGGGGCCCAGAGCCGGCUCUUUGUCCUCUAGUAAUGAGCACCAGAUGCGGAGCUGCGUGCGGGCCUGAACAGACGGCCUCCCAGGGCAGAGCCCCCGCCUGCGCCCAGACUCAGGCUCCGCCUUAACCGAAAGCUGAAUCUCAGGCUCCGCCCAUUAACUCUCAGGCCUCAUCUCACCUCAGCGCGGUGGAGGUGGCCUAGAUUAUGAGCCCCGCCCUCCCAAUCAAUGAGCCACGCCCCUUGGAGGCGGGGGAAGGGGGGUGGAAAACUCUCCGGAGUAUUCCCGGAGGCCCCGCCCACCAAAACCAUAGCCUCACCCCUCGCCAGCUCAAAGAUGCCUUCAGAGCUAUGGCUAGCCCCCUGCCUUAUCAGCUCCCCCAGGACCCCGCCCAUAACCAACAAGCUGCGUCUCCACAUCUAGGCAGUAGCGGAGAGGAGAGCUGUUUAUAAAUCUUGUCUUCACCGAGGUCUCUCCCUGGGACUUCAGGCUGGCUGUCCAGGGAGCCUCAGGGAUCCUGCAGUCUCUUUUUCCCCAACACUGGCAUCAGAUGCAAGAACCACCUAGCCUUUGACCCGGGUACUGGCGAGUGAACUCAGAUCUCAAUGCUCUCAAGGGCAAACAUGUGAUGGAACAUCUAGCUGAAGCAGACACAGGAGGGAGGAUGUUCUGCUAAAGCAAGCAUGGGAAAGGACGCACGAUGAAGGAUCCUUUGCUAUCGACAGGCCUGUAUUGAUCCACCUUACACUGCAUACUUGAGCUGCAUUUGCUGGGACUCCAUAGAGAGAAACGUACCCAAAAAAAACUU
rnacentral:sRNA from 1 species